GUUUCGUAGUGACCUGCGGAGGAUCAUUAUCGUACAAAA
rnacentral:rRNA from 1 species